UCCUAGGAAAAUAAAGAUGUUUUAAGAUAUAUAAUUAGGCGGUGCGGUGCAUUGAUAGUUGGUCAUCACACUACAACACAAUUAGAUUAUAGCGAUAUAUUUUUAAAAUAUUUUUUUGUAAGUGUCCCAUUUAUACCAAAAUUUUUAAAAAAUUCUAUUAAGGGGUAUAAAUAUAAAACUCAAUUCAACCAAAUAUAAAAUAUUACUCUACUUAUCCCAUUCUACCCAGCCUAUUUGUCCCGAUCACAAAUAGAAAAGAAAGAAAAAAAGAAGAAAAAUAGAUCACCAUCUUUCAUUCUCUACUCACUCAAUACAUUGAAAUCCUAGGCGAAGAGCCCCUCGCUCUCCUCCUCCUUCGCGCCACAGCCGACGAGAUAGAGUUCCGACGGUUGUUAAAUGCUUAAAUAAAUAUUGGUAAAUUAGCAGUAUUCUCUUUAAGUUAUACCAACACUCUUAAAGUGUUACUAUAUACCUAGUGAUUCUAUAUAUAACAAUAUUUUUAAAAAAUAUCGGUAAUUUAGCCAGUAGCACAUUUUUUGACUUAUACCAACAUUUAAAAGUGUCGCUAUAUAUCAUUUUUGUUGUAGUGUCGGAACAUAAUUUGCAAAGCUU
rnacentral:lncRNA from 1 species